rnacentral:rRNA from 1 species
CAAUAAGCGGAGGAAAAGAAACCAACAGGGAUUGCCUUAGUAACGGCGAGUGAAGCGGCAACAGCUCAAAUUUGAAAUCUGGCCCUCGGGUCCGAAUUGUAAUUUGUAGAGGAUGAUUUUGGUGCGGUAUCUUCCGAGUUCCUUGGAACAGGACGCCUUAGAGGGUGAGAGCCCCGUACGGUUGAAUGCCUAGCCUCUGUAAAUCUCCUUCGACGAGUCGAGUAGUUUGGGAAUGCUGCUCUAAAUGGGAGGUAAAUUUCUUCUAAAGCUAAAUAUUGGCCAGAGACCGAUAGCGCACAAGUAGAGUGAUCGAAAGAUGAAAAGCACUUUGAAAAGAGGGUUAAAUAGCACGUGAAAUUGUUGAAAGGGAAGGAUUUGUGACCAGACUUUUUCUGGGCGGAUCAUCCGGGGUUCUCUCCGGUGCACUUUGCCCAGUAAAGGCCAGCAUCGAUUUUCGGCGGCGGAUAAAAGCAGUGGGAAUGUGGCUCCCCACGGGGAGUGUUAUAGCCCAUUGUAUAAUACGCUGCUGGGGAUCGAGGUACGCGCUUCUGCAAGGAUGCUGGCGUAAUGGUUAUCAAUCACCCGUCUUGAAACACGGACCAAGGAGUCGAACAUUUAUGCGAGUGUUUGGGUGUUAAACCCUCACGCGUAAUGAAAGUGAACGGAGGUGAGAGCCCGUACGGGUGCAUCAUCGACCGAUCCUGAAGUUUUCGGAUGGAUUUGAGUAAGAGCAUAACUGUUCGGACCCGAAAGAUGGUGAACUAUGCGUGGAUAGGGUGAAGCCAGAGGAAACUCUGGUGGAGGCUCGCAGCGGUUCUGACGUGCAAAUCGAUCGUCAAAUCUGCGCAUGGGGGCGAAAGACUAAUCGAACCAUCUAGUAGCUGGUUACCGC